AAGGUCUGUACAAGCUCUAAAGUAACUGUUAGUCAAAGAUCAACAAGUCGAUAUCAGUGGCGGAUCCAGACCUUGAGCUAAGGGGUGCCCGGUUUUGUUUUGCUUGCCCUGCUGGCUUUCUUCCUUCUGUGAUUUCUUCUUUUUUCACCCAAAAUUAGGGGGCCUCAGGGCCCCCGGACCCCUGGGUCCCUCCACUAGAUUCCCCACUGGAUAUUUCAAGGAAUGAAACUAGCGAUUACUAAAGUCUUCAGAGCCAACAUUUUCCUCGCACCAAGGUCCCGCCGGCUACGAAAAACGACAUGGGGCCUUGGGACUGAACUUGAUUUAGCAUCAAAUAUUUUUCGCUCUUUGCAUGAGGUGCGUGGAAGCUCCGCUUCUUCUUUCAAACUUUGGCUAAUGCCGUGUCUACAUUACAAGAAAUGUUCCCAAACAUGUUCCAGACACAAAAUUUUGAUGGUGGAAUCUUAUGGAGGAAAAUUAGCUCACCUAUCCAAGCGCCAGAAACAGCAAGCCAACUCUGACAAGAUGCAACGUGUGUCUUUGACCAUGCUUGCUCUUCAGCCGAAUUUCCGUAGCCCUGGCGAAGCAAAAUGCUGUGACUCUCCCAGACUUCGUAUUAUCCAAAGUGCAUACAGUCCAACCCCCAUCACAUGUACAGUUGAAAAUAUUUACGAUGUUAAGGCCUGGCUUCCUGACUUUUCAUCAAAAUUCCAAGGCUACAGUCAUCCCCAUGCCUUCCGUUUCAAGCUAAAUGAUAACAGAGACAUGGAGAUGAAUAACUGACCCUGGGCAAAAGCUGGAAGAAAGGAAUGGCUUCAUUAUUUUAUGAGACAUUCCACCUGGGAAACUGUGAGAGAAUGUCCAACCCUUAAAAAAAAUGAAAGACUGUAGAAAAAUGAAAACUUAGAAUGUCAACAGUAGAACAAGAACGGUGGGAGAAAAUGAUGAGGGAAGAGGAGGAAAGGGUGACAUUGUUGGAUUCCCUAAAUGAAGAGGAUUAUGCUGAGGCAGGGAAGACAUUUGACCUGUUGGGGUUCAAUUACACCAUGCCAGACCCUGAACCUACAGAUUAGGAAUACAAGGAAAGGAACACAAAUGUGCACCAUUUGAUAGAGAAGGAAGAAAUCUUAAUGCAUGGUAAACAAGAAACACAUAAAGACGUGAAAUACAUCAGACAUGGCAGGUUAGUCAGAGUUUUUCUGUAUAGUCACUUUGAGGGACAGGUGCAGUGUACCAUUAUAGGAUGGAAUUCAAUCUUGAGAAAUCCAGCAGAUUGCGUUUUUGACAGGAUUGUUACGACGUUGAAUGACGGUCGUUGGUGUCAAGAUUAUUUGGGAACAUCU